rnacentral:rRNA from 1 species
CCUACGGGAGGCAGCAGUAAGGAAUAUUGGUCAAUGGACGGAAGUCUGAACCAGCCAUGCCGCGUGCAGGAUGACGGCCCUCUGGGUUGUAAACUGCUUUUAUAGGGGACGAAAAAAGGGGAUUCUUCCUCACUUGACGGUACCCUAGGAAUAAGCACCGGCUAACUCCGUGCCAGCAGCCGCGGUAAUACGGAGGGUGCAAGCGUUAUCCGGAUUUACUGGGUUUAAAGGGUGCGUAGGUGGGUCGGUAAGUCAGCGGUGAAAUCUUCGAGCUUAACUCGGAAACUGCCAUUGAUACUAUCGAUCUUGAAUCGUCUAGAGGUAAGCGGAAUAUGUCAUGUAGCGGUGAAAUGCUUAGAUAUGACAUAGAACACCAAUUGCGAAGGCAGCUUACUAUGGAUGUAUUGACACUGAGGCACGAAAGCGUGGGGAUCAAACAGGAUUAGAUACCCUGGUAGUCCACGCCCUAAACGAUGGAUACUCGACAUUUGAGAUAUACUUUAAAGUGUUCUGAGACGAAGACGAUUAAGUAGUACCACCGUACGGAAGGUAACGAGUCGUCGAAGUUAAGUUAGUAAACGUUAACGUUAAAGUAAGUUAAGUUAGUUACGGCGUUGAGACGUUAGCCGACGGACGACGACGAGGGAGGAGG